rnacentral:rRNA from 1 species
AGAACGAACGCUGGCGGCAUGCCUAACACAUGCAAGUCGAACGAGACCUUCGGGUCUAGUGGCGCACGGGUGCGUAACGCGUGGGAAUCUGCCCUUGGGUUCGGGAUAACAGUUGGAAACGACUGCUAAUACCGGAUGAUGACUUCGGUCCAAAGAUUUAUCGCCCAGGGAUGAGCCCGCGUCGGAUUAGCUAGUUGGUGGGGUAAAGGCCUACCAAGGCGACGAUCCGUAGCUGGUCUGAGAGGAUGAUCAGCCACACUGGGACUGAGACACGGCCCAGACUCCUACGGGAGGCAGCAGUGGGGAAUAUUGGACAAUGGGCAAAGCCUGAUCCAGCAAUGCCGCGUGAGUGAUAGAAGGCCGUUAGGGUCGUAAAGCUUACUUUUACCCGGGAUGACUAAUGAACAGUACCGGUAGAAGUAGACCCCGCUAACCGUCCGUACGCUAGCUACGCCG